CCAGCCUGGGCCACUGCCCUGCUCCCACUGCACACGGCCGGGAUCACGGUCACCCGAGCAGAGGGCUCUUGGAGGCUCCCUUGGUGCUCUCACGAGAAGCCUGCUACUGCCGGGGAAUGCCACGAAGAUCCCCACACAUUCCCGGGGAGGACGAGGACCUGAGACACAGGAACAGAGGCCCAGGGGACACCGGGCGCUCGGCAGAGCUGCGAGAAGAGACGGAUGGUGCUGGAGUGGCUGGAACAAGCCAUCAGCCCCCAGGGCCUCCCAGGAAAGGCCUGGCCCUGCAGCAGGACACCUGGGCGAGGUGGAGGAGGACACGAGGGUUAUUCACAUUGCCCACUGGGUACAAGGGGUGCCUUGGGGUUGCAGCAGAAAACGUGAGCCCAAACUGGAGGGGGAUGAGGGACAGUUCCCGGAGCAGAGGAAGUGGCUGUGUGUGACCCUCAAGCCUCAGGACACAGAUGGCACCGGAUGGGUAAGGGGCAGGACGGUAAGGACAGCACAGUCCAGGGGCAGCGUGGAGGAGGGGAGUGACCCCUGGGGGCCAGGCUGAGGCACCACCUAGGGCCAGUGUAGAGUGGUGCCCAAAGCACGAGGGAAGGGAAGUUGUUGUUUGGUUUGAGCUUUAAGUGUUUACGAGCCAGAGUUGUGAGAGGGAAGAAAACAGAACUUUUGUGUGGAAGAAAUGAAACUGCACCAGUGACAAGCUGAAGGGAGACCGUGCAGGGGCAGAAACAGGGUCCGGGCUGCAGCCAGGGCUGGAGCUGGACAGUCAGAAGCUGGGAAGUGACCAGCGACGCCUCCUUCCGCUCAGGACCUUCAGAGGAGGCUGAGACUCCCGGAUGGCCAGGAGCUGUGAGCAGACAGACACCGCCCUCGUCACCCGGGAGUGUGAGUGGGAGGCCAGCCACCACAUGGAGCCCCAAAGGGCAGAGCUACCCCAGGCCUCUUGUACUUGCUCUUCUUCCCACCUAAGUUCCUUCCUGCAGAGUUUUGGAAGCUAUUUCUUUCUCUUCAUUCUACUCUCUGCCAAAAGAUCGCUUCCUCGAGAGGCCCUACCUGGCCACCCUACCCAAAAUAGCACUACUCCCAAUUCUAACAGCCCUGAAACAUUCUUCAUAUCACAUGUUACUUUGGGCACGAGUAAUUCUGACCAGUUCUUUGUUUAUUGUGUUUCUGUCCCUGAGAUGUAAGCCUCAAAAGGGCGGGGCUCUAUCUACUUUACUCACUGCUAUGUCCUUGUUAUCCAGAACAAUGUCUGGCACACGGAAGGCAUGCAGCUAAUGUUGGCAGAGGAAUGGGCCAUCAAAAGAGAAAGACGGGCCCUUCCACAGAGGUUCAAAGGCUUCGUUUCCAGCCUGUGAGACAUCACCCAGCCUGGCCCUUAGCUCCUGUAAGCUGAAAACCAGGUUGUCCUAGUACAGCCCACUGCUACUAAGAAAGAAGGAUUGUCUGGCACCUGAGCUACCUGUGGAACAGCACCAUCGGCUGAGUUCUCAGCCACAAAUCACCUUUGUGUAGUUGUCAGAACGUCCGUCAGCAAAUGCCUGUCCCCGGGCCGCAGCCAAGCCGCCGGGCAGUACUGCUGCGGCACCCUUGGCUGCCUGGCUGCCUGUCUUUAAUUUAAAUGUAAUUUAACUUUGCUCUACAGGAUUAGAGAAAUACAAGGGUAAUGCAAAACAAACUCCAUGCAAGGGCAAAUAAGUAAAUUUUCUUUGAACUUUC